AUGAGUCGACCUGAUGGGAUCAACAUCCCCGACGGCAAGUUCUACCUUGGAGAUGCUGGCUAUGCAUGUCGGCCGGGUAUUCUUCCACCCUUCAGGAAAACAAGGUACCAUCUCAAUGAGUUCUCUGGUAGGAACUUUCCUAGGACUGCACAGGAGCUGUUUAAUCUCAGACACUCCAGCCUUAGAGUAACUGUUGAGAGGGCAUUUGGAGCUCUGAAGAAUAGGUUUAAGAUCCUGCAUCAGAAGCCAUUCCACCCAUACUCCACUCAAGUUAAGCUAGUUCUUGCUUGUUGCAUUCUGCAUAAUUGGAUCCUCCAGUGGGGCUUUGAUGAACACGUGCCUGAGGAGGAAGAGGUCGAGCCUGACGAUGUUGUUACCUCUGGCCAUGGUGUGGAGGCAUUUGACAUGACGCUUGGAAGAACAAAAGGUUGGAGUGGGCAGAGGCAAUGUGGCUUAACAGAGGUCAGUGCAGGAUUUGAAGAAGAGGAAGAAGAAACAGCAGCAGCAGAAGCACAGAAGAAGAGGAAGAAGAAGAAGCAGCAGAAGCAGAAAGGAAGAUGA
rnacentral:rRNA from 1 species